CCAAGUCUAUUACGAACUCGAUUUUUUGAUCCGGCGGUAUCCUCGGUAACUCUAUGGGAAAUACGUCCGAAUACUCUCGAACCACGAAAACAUCUUCGAGCGCCAGAGUCUCCCUACAGACCACCACCACGGCUGCCAAAUAAGCCGCGCAACCGCCACUGACCAUCUUCCUCGCCCUCGACGCCGACACUGUCACGGCGAAGAGCGAACUCUUACACGCUCGAUAGGUGAACUUCUCUU
rnacentral:lncRNA from 1 species